UACGAAGGGUGCAAACGUUGCUCGGAAUUAUUGGGCGUAAAGCGCACGUAGGCGGCAUUGCAAGUCGGAUGUGAAAUCUUAUGGCUUAACCAUAAAAGUGCAUCCGAAACUGCAGUGCUUGAGUACUUAAGAGGAUCGCGGAAUUCCCGGUGUAGAGGUGAAAUGCGUAGAUAUCGGGAGGAACACCAGUGGCGAAGGCGACUACCUGGCCUGUUCUUGACGCUGAGGCGCGAAAGCUAGGGGAGCAAACGGG
rnacentral:rRNA from 1 species